rnacentral:rRNA from 1 species
AUUGAACGCUGGCGGCAUGCCUUACACAUGCAAGUCGAACGGCAGCACGGGAGCAAUCCUGGUGGCGAGUGGCGAACGGGUGAGUAAUAUAUCGGAACGUGCCCAGUCGUGGGGAUAACGUAGCAAAAGCUACGCUAAUACCGCAUACGAUCUAUGGAUGAAAGCGGGGGAUCGCAAGACCUCGCGCGAUUGGAGCGGCCGAUAUCAGAUUAGGUAGUUGGUGAGGUAAAGGCUCACCAAGCCGACGAUCUGUAGCUGGUCUGAGAGGACGACCAGCCACACUGGGACUGAGACACGGCCCAGACUCCUACGGGAGGCAGCAGUGGGGAAUUUUGGACAAUGGGCGCAAGCCUGAUCCAACAAUGCCGCGUGCAGGAUGAAGGCC